rnacentral:lncRNA from 1 species
AUUUACCUUUAGUCAUAAAUCUCUGAAGUAAUCUUAUGUUAAUACACUUAAAAUUGCAAGGAAUGAUCAUAUUUCUUAAAACGGAGGGUACCAAGCUAUAAAUUCUUACUGAAUAAACGUAAUUUAGACUUUGUUCAGAACACAUAAAUGAGAACUAGUAGCGUGUUGGUGUAUUUUUAUUCAGAGGGUAGCGUGUUGGUGUAUUUUUAUUCGGAGGGUUGUGAAAGGCUGUAAUGACACCGCCUUGUCAAACAAUCAUAAAUGACUUCACUGAACACGACCUUUUUGCACCAACCCCUACUGGAGCCAAACACUCACAGUGGAGCUAGCUUGGCAUUUGGGAAGUGAGAUGACAGCAGCGUCCUUCUUUCACACAUGUUCAUUUAAAAUCUAUGGAAAAUAAAGACAGUAUAAAGAAGAAAAUAAACACAACCUGUAAAAAGCACUAUCAACAUUAUGGUAUACUGUUUCCCUCACUAUCAAAAGGUCAACAGAUGGAGACCAUCCUGGUCAACACAGUGAAACCCCGUCUCUACUAAAAAUAUAAAAAUUAGCUGGGCGUCGUGGUACGCGCCUGUAGUCCCAGCUAUCUAAACAUUAUCCAUCCAUAUCCAAAUGGUACUUGAAGUAACCACCUUCGCACACCUAUGCUGACUGCGCUCUCCAGCGAGAGCUAAGCUCGUGCUGCCUGGUCAUGAUGACCUGCAAGACUGAAAGGGGCAGUGAUCCUAGUUCUAGUUUCAUAGAAAAAACUGGACUGAAAAGAUGAGGCCAAGACAGAAAGAAAAAUGGAGACAGAAGAUAAAAAGGGAGAAUCCUGAAGAUAUCUGAGUUACUGGUUCCAGCUGUCCCUGAAAUCGGACGUUCCUGCCAUUCCCAUACUUGGGUAACACCCAUACAGCGCUAUCUUCAAUUAUUUCACUUAAGCUUAGCGUGAGGUUCGCUUUUUGCCAUUUCUAAAGCCAGAGUCCUGAUAGACGCACAAGCACAAACUCAGCGAAUAAUUCCAUCUGGCCCAGGCCCUUAUCAUUUUCUUUACUGGAUUGCUGUCACUGCUACCAGGUACUCUCUUUGCCCUGACUCUCUUCCUGCUCUGCACCUGUCCUGAAAACUCAUGACUUCCAAAUGCAAAUGCAACCACAAGCCUCUUUCUUCAAUGGCUAUAAACUGCCUAUGGGCCGGAAGCUCCUGUGUGCCCUGUCACCGGCCCCGUCCCCAGCAUCUCCUCCUGCCCUGUCCCCCUCACAGCUCUCUCCAGUGACAUCCUACUGUGUGCAGACCCCCCAGCAUGCACAGGUGUCUUCUCCUUCUCUGGACGGCCCCUUCUCUGAGAAACAUCUGUAUCCACAGCUAGUUCCCAACUGCCUGGCACUCCAAGUGUCAUCUCAGUGGAAGGGUUUCCUGACUCCUCCCCUGGUGGGGGCUGUCCCUCUUCUGUGCUCCUCCAUCACCCUUGCACAAGCUACCUGCUCUCAUUACACUCCACUGCAAUCUUCAGUUUACUCACCUCAACUGUGAGCUUCUUAAAGACAAGCAUUCUAUUCUGUCUCUCUAGUGUCUCGCCAGUGUCUAACACAGUAUAUAACACAUGAUAGGUGUUCAAUCAACAUUUUCUGCAGGGAGAGGGAGGGGAGCAGGGCUAUUCCACAGUUUAAACAGGAAGGUAUCUUUACAUUUACACAUGUAGGACAUAAUGAACCUGAUUCUCUUAUUGCUUCUGCCAUAAUUCCAGAGUCUCAGGAAUGAUUAAAUGCUUCCACUGAUACAUUUAUUUUUCAAGGACUUGCAUACUAAUAAGAAUAAAGGUAAUACCACAGAUGCCAGUUCAGAACAAAGAAAUUAUCUGGUCACACUAGGCAGCUUGUCUCUCUUCUGACACGUAUUAGGGUUCUUCUCUGCCUUCAUGUUUGUAGGGACCUCUGUAUACACUUUUACCUCUAUAAUCAGAGCUGUAGCAAAUAGAGGAGGGAUGUGAGAAGGAUAAAAACUUUCUGUUGUGACAGAGAGAGUAUCAAAUUCAAUAUAUUCAGUCUAUGUAAGAAUGAAAAACACUGGAACAAUAUAGAGAUAUGUAUAUCAUCUUCUGAAAUCAACUCCUUUUUGCAGAAAUGACUUAUUUGCAUUAAAAAUGACUUAUCCCACAUCGUUCCACAUCAUGUUUGGGCUUUACUUCAGAAUUGAUAGAGCUAUUUCACAGAAGGAUAAUGUUCAUACUUCUGUUUGAGGACACUCAUACUGAAACCUCUUGGAUUACAAUUUCUCUUUAGCUCCCAUCUCGACUCGGAAGUGUAGUGACAUUUAAGAAGUAAGGCAGAGCCACUUCCUAAAAUUUCACACUCAGCUGGGCGUUGGGGCUCAUGCCUGUAAUCCCAGCACCUUGGGAGGCCGAGGCGGACGGAUCACGAGAUCAGGAGUUCGAGACCAUCCUGGCUAACACAGUGAAACCCCGUCUCUACUAAAAAUACAAAAAUUAGACAGGCGUGGUGGCGGGCGCCUGUAGUCCCAGCUGCUCGGGAGGCUGAGGCAGGAGAAUGGCGUGAAUCUGGGAGGCAGAGCUUGCAGUGAGCCGAGAUGGCGCCACUGCACGCUAGCCUGGGCGACAGAGCCAG